CAAAUUAGAGCUUGUAAAAGCAUUUCAUUUACAUUGAAAAGAAAUUAAAAUUUAGUUAAUUUGA
rnacentral:tRNA from 1 species